rnacentral:rRNA from 1 species
ACGGGUGCGUAACGCGUGGGAAUCUGCCCUUGGGUUCGGAAUAACAGUGAGAAAUUACUGCUAAUACCGAAUGAUGACCUACGUCCAAAGAUUUAUCGCCCAGGGAUGAGCCCGCGUAGGAUUAGCUAGUUGGUGAGGUAAAAGCUCACCAAGGCGACGAUCCUUAGCUGGUCUGAGAGGAUGAUCAGCCACACUGGGACUGAGACACGGCCCAGACUCCUACGGGAGGCAGCAGUGGGGAAUAUUGGACAAUGGGCGAAAGCCUGAUCCAGCAAUGCCGCGUGAGUGAUGAAGGCCUUAGGGUUGUAAAGCUCUUUUACCCGGGAUGAUAAUGACAGUACCGGGAGAAUAAGCUCCGGCUAACUCCGUGCCAGCAGCCGCGGUAAUACGGAGGGAGCUAGCGUUAUUCGGAAUUACUGGGCGUAAAGCGCACGUAGGCGGCUUUGUAAGUUAGAGGUGAAAGCCUGGAGCUCAACUCCAGAACUGCCUUUAAGACUGCAUCGCUUGAAUCCGGGAGAGGUGAGUGGAAUUCCGAGUGUAGAGGUGAAAUUCGUAGA